AUGUAGAAAUUUUUUAUUUAUCUUGCGUUCUAACAAAAAAGAGUGCUAACCAAAACUAAAUUUCCCAUCACAAGAUGGCAAAUGGGCACAAACGACGACGGAAUGGCCAUGGAAUACCUAUCCACGUCAUGUGUUUAGGCACGCAUUUUUCAUGCAUGGAACUUCGAUCCUUCCCUUGUUGGCCGCCUUUCAAACGACUCCGACCAUACCAUUAUACUACGUCUAUUUAACGGGGAUGUGUACAGAAAAGGCUGGAGUAACAACCAAAUUUUCUUCCGGUAACUCAAGUAUUCCGUUGUCGGGAAUGGCUUUCCAACUUGGAAUCGCUCCCACUUGUAAGCAAACUCAACAAAUUGCCUGGGCAACACAUAACAGUACAGAUGUGCAUGGCGAUAAAAUAAACACACACCAUGAAGUUGAAGAAUACUACAAGAAUUUCUAUCAAUGCAAAGUCGUUGAUUCAAGGGGAACCCUACGCAAAGUUGACCCCAAUGAUCCCGUAAAAUUCUUUUUCGAGUAGUUAAUGAUUACUAUAUACGUUUACCUUUCGUUAACAAGUUGAAUUUCUCAGAAUGAUAGUUUAGCAACAUGAACUAAAAUGCGUGUUUUGUUUUUAAUGUGAAUACAGAAUCCAUAUCAAUUUAA